AUCCCUAAUUUUCCUACCCAUUUUUCUUCUUAUCGUUCCUAACCUUCCUACCGUGCAACCUUCUCCACCAGCGCAGCCUCACGCUGCCGUUGCCAGUUUCCAAUCGCCAACUGCCAACCAUAAGAGAGAGAGACAGAGAGAAUCCGAGCAGACAUUAUCAGAAAUGGAUCAGAUAUUGAAUAAGGUUGGCUCCUAUUGGCUGGGCAAGAGAGCCAACAAGGUGAUGGAUUCCAUUGGCGACGACUUCAACUCUUGAGGGCAUUAGAUCUGCAUAUUGGCUUUUUUAGCUUUGGACAAAUGGAAGCUGCUACAAACAACUUCAACACCGCAAAUAAAAUUGGAGAAGGUGGUUUUGGAGCUGGCUACAAGGGUGUAUUGCUUGAUGGUACUGUAAUUGCAAUUAAAAAAUUUCUUCAAAAUCAAGACAAGGAGAUCUAGAAUUCCUGAAUGAACUAGCCGUGAUUUCAGGCUUACAACACCGAAUGUUGUUAGGUUGUAUGGAUGUUGCGUUGAGGGAACUCAACUGUUGUCGGUAUAUGAAUACAUGGAAAAUAAUAGCCUUGCACAUGCUUUAUUCGGUCCCAAAGUAAGCA